rnacentral:lncRNA from 1 species
CUUCAAAUGUCAGUCAUAACAUUGCAGUGUGUUUAAUAUUAAGAUUGCAUAUAAAUACUUCUUUUACCGUUUAAUAAUGUUCUUGACAUGCAUUUUUACAGGUUCAUUAAUAAAUGGAACUGUCACCGGGUAUUUUUAGCAUAAAGUGUGCUACUUUCGUGGAUAAAUAAAAAGGAAGUACAGUAAAAUACAAAAGACGAAGAAAUGUAAACCGAGAAGAUCCGAGCUGAAGUCAGAGAACUGACAGUAAAGAUAUAACAUACGUUCUAGAGGUAACAAUUUAUGAAAACAAUGUUGGUACAUUAUUAUAUUUUUUCUAUAUUUUUAAGGUCGUUUUCGACAAAAACAUAUAUAACCAGAGCCUCACAAGUUUAAUUUUGCCAUUUACUUUCAUUUUAGGCUGACUUGGUUGAAAGUACGGGGAACUAUUGCCAUCACUAUGCUUUGAUAGUAUAAAUUUGUUCAUUCAAGUUUCAUAUUCAAUUGUUCUUUAAAACAAAUACCUGUUUUUACCCACAGUUGCAUAAAAACAGUUUUAAUCAAAUGUCUCAUUGUUGUUAAUAUUUAAUUGAGAUAAGUCAUUAAAGGCUCUUGAAAGCUACAAUAGUUAUAAGUCAAACAUAAAGAUAUAAAGAUGUUGUUAAUUGCCUAUGAGACAACUUUCCACAAAAGACCACAAUGACAUAUGAUAGUACUAUCUUUGACUAUUGAGUACAUUGUUAGCACAAGUAGAAACAGUCGGACUAAAACUAUAUGUGAAAUAAGCCAAAUUAUAUCGAAAAUGGAGUAUAGUUAGUAGGCAGUAUAAGUCAAAUAAUAAGAAUUGACAACUAUGUUCUAGGCUUUGACGAAGAUGUAACUUACCAACUAGGAGACAUUUCACAUUGGAAACAAAAGAUUGCGGCGGAAAACUUCAAUAUUAUUAUACUUGAUCUUGAAACCACCGGCUUGUGUAUGUAUUCUAUAGAAGAAAUUUCAGUGUAUCUGAGACAUAAUUAAUCAAACAAACUCUACUGGUGUGCACAUCUUCAUUUAUAUAUAAUUACAUUACAUACAAAUAUGUAAUGGAAGAUGUACUGUGGAUUCAUUAUUUAUCAUGGAUGUCAAUCAUCAUGGAUUUCUUUGUAACAUGUGAACCACGAAACUAAAUGCAAAACAAAGCCUUAAACAAUGAGCAAAAUGCAUACCCCAUAGUCAGCUAUAAAAGGCAGCGGAAUUACAAAUGUAAAACAAUCCAAAAAAAGAGCUAACGACCUGAUUUAUGUACAAACCAAUACGUUAAUUUGAUUUUUUGAAGAAGAUAACAAUUUGAAAAUGUAAUAUAGUUACUAGUACAUGUAUUCAAUUUGAUUAAAGGAUUUUUUUUUAUUUCAGUUUGAUUAAAGGAUUUUUUUUUUAUUUCAGCUCGACAUAGGGAUAUUGUACAAAUGACAGCAGUUAUACUGAACAUGAAACUUUAUCAGCUUGUUCGAUGCCAUAAAAGAAGAUAAAAUCAUAAACAUCUAAUAUAAUAAAACUUGCAAGCUUGUGUGGACUAAUGUACCAUGAUGAAGUUACUGUGAAAGGCUCACAUAUCUUAUUCCUUUUAUUUUAAGUUUGUAUCUUAACCAACACUUGUUUGACAAAAUAUUACAACUUUUUCUUGUCA